CUGGAGAGAAGGGGGCUGCCUCUCCUAUUGCUGCUGCUUCGUUCUUUCAUCGUAAGCGGUCUCCGUUUCCAGUUCCAUUGAAUUCAUUUCUGUUUUCGAUUCCAUUGAGUUUGAAUUCUCUAUUUUGCUGUAACCAUAGUCACUGUUGCUGGAAUUACGAACGCCGCCCUCGGUGCUGAUUGGAUUAACCACCAUAGCUAUUCUGCAUCACCUUCACUUUUCAUUAUUUUUGUCAGGUCCCGUUCUUGCCGGUGUUGGCCAUUGGAUUUGCAACAGCUCCAACUUUUAUUUCCCUCUUGAUUCGAUGAAGUAAUUAUGGUUGCUGCAAAAGUGGUUUGGAACUGCGGUUGUGGUUGCCGCUGUGAUGAGCCGGGGGGAAAAAGGGAUUCAAUGCAUUUAAUUAUGCAGAUUGCGAAUAAUUGAGGAACUGGAUGAAGAAGUAUUAUGGAGAGUUAUAAUGCAUUUGGUUUAUAUACGUUGUUGUAUUAAUUAGAUUAUUUUCUUCC